CAGCAGCCGCGGGAAUACGGAGGGAGCUAGCGUUGUUCGGAAUUAUUGGGCGUAAAGGGCUCGCAGGCGGUUUCUUAAGUCUGAUGUGAAAGCCCCCGGCUCAACCGGGGAGGGUCAUUGGAAACUGGGAAACUUGAGUGCAGAAAAGGAGAGUGGAAUUCCACGUGUAGCGGUGAAAUGCGUAGAGAUGUGGAGGAACACCAGUGGCGAAGGCGACUCUCUGGUCUGUAACUGACGCUGAGGAGCGAAAGCGUGGGGAGCGAACAGGAUUAGAGACCCCGGUAGUCCCUGUCUCUUAUAC
rnacentral:rRNA from 1 species